AAGUCGUAACAAGGUCUCCGUAGGUGAACCUGCGGAGGGAUCAUUACAGAGUUCGUGCCCUUACGGGUAGAUCUCCCACCCUGUGUUAUUAUUACUUUGUUGCUUUGGCGGGCCGUCAGGCUCACGCUUGCCACCGGCUCCGGCUGGUGCGUGCCCGCCAGAGGACCCCAAACCCUGAUUAUUAGUGUCGUCUGAGUACUAUAUAAUAGUUAAAACUUUCAACAACGGAUCUCUUGGUUCUG
rnacentral:misc_RNA from 1 species